rnacentral:rRNA from 1 species
GACGAACCGUGCGAACGUUAUUCGGAAUCACUGGGCUUAAAGCGCGUGUAGGUGGGGCGGCACGUCGGUCGCUGAAAUCCCCCGGCUUGACCGGGGAACGGGCGCCGAUACGACCGCCCUUGAGGGGCGUAGGGGGGGCUGGAACUUCCGGUGGAGCGGUGAAAUGCGUUGAGAUCGGAAGGAACGCCCGUGGCGAAAGCGAGCCCCUGGACGUCAUCUGAUACUGAGACGCGAAAGCCAGGGGAGCGAACGGG